GGCUGGUUAGCUCAGUUGGUUAGAGCAUGGUGCUGGUAACACCAAGGUCCAGGGUUCAAUCCUUGUCCUGGCCAGCCA